rnacentral:lncRNA from 1 species
GCCGGCGUGGUGGCAGAUGACCGGACCUCUGGCUGGACGAAUUGAAAGGGGAGAAGGCUUCUGAAAGUUUUUUUGUUUUUUUUUAAAUGGGGUUUCAAAUGAUUUUUUUUGGAAAAUUGGGGGUAUUUAUAGGGCACCAAAACGGUGUCGUUUUGGAGAGCCCCCAGAUGCCCAAAACGGCGUCGUUUUGGGGAGACCGACCCAGCUCCGACCCGACCCGGCCUAGGAUCCGCGUGUUUUUUUAGCGGAGGGGAAAAUUACA